UACGUAGGGUCCGAGCGUUGUCCGGAAUUACUGGGCGUAAAGAGCUCGUAGGUGGUUUGUCGCGUUGUUCGUGAAAACUCACAGCUCAACUGUGGGCGUGCGGGCGAUACGGGCAGACUAGAGUACUGCAGGGGAGACUGGAAUUCCUGGUGUAGCGGUGGAAUGCGCAGAUAUCAGGAGGAACACCGGUGGCGAAGGCGGGUCUUUGGGCAGUAACUGACGCUGAGACACGAAGGCCAGGGGAGCAAACGGG
rnacentral:rRNA from 1 species